AAAACCCCUAUUAAAUUCAACUUUCAACUUUGAUUCCAUUCAUAUUUGAUCCCUUUUUUCCGACCAAUGUAGUCGUUGACUACUCGGAUUCUUCACAAGAGAUAUCAACUUCAGAUGCCACCAACAAUUUAAUUAUUUUCUUUUUUGCA
ensembl:ncRNA F45H11.9 ncRNA